rnacentral:rRNA from 1 species
CGAAUGCUGACAUAAGUAACGAUAAAGCGGGUGAAAAGCCCGCUCGCCGGAAGACCAAGGGUUCCUGUCCAACGUUAAUCGGGGCAGGGUGAGUCGACCCCUAAGGCGAGGCCGAAAGGCGUAGUCGAUGGGAAACAGGUUAAUAUUCCUGUACUUGGUGUUACUGCGAAGGGGGGACGGAGAAGGCUAUGUUGGCCGGGC